UACGUAGGGUGCGAGCGUUAAUCGGAAUUACUGGGCGUAAAGCGUGCGCAGGCGGUUUUGUAAGCCAGAUGUGAAAGCCCCGGGCUUAACCUGGGAAUGGCAUUUGGGACUGCAAGGCUUGAGUGUGGCAGAGGAGACUGGAAUUCCUGGUGUAGCAGUGAAAUGCGUAGAUAUCAGGAGGAAUACCGAUGGCGAAGGCAGGUCUCUGGGUUAACACUGACGCUCAUGCACGAAAGCGUGGGGAGCAAACAGG
rnacentral:rRNA from 1 species